GGAAAGCAGAACUCCUGCUUCUGCUAUAUUCUUUUAUUAUGGAGCAAACAGGGGGCUCCCGGGACUGGAACACUUAGGAUGGAGAUGCAAUGYCUACCUUGGAGAGUGUGCGAUGCUCUGCAGAGCCUGUCGCUCCUGAGCUUUAGAGCAGAAGACCAAGUCUCAGACACAAUAAGCAAGCGGUGGAUCUCAGAUUCAAAACAGURCAACAGAGAUGCCCGCCAGCUAUGCCAAUUCUGAAGCCUACUCUCCUUCCACCUCCCAAGACUGUAUCACCAGAACCACUAGAGAGAACAAAGUACAGAGAGUAUACAGCUGUCCUACAAUAAGCAUCCAGGACCUCCAGACCCACAAAUCCCAGGYUCCUCACAUGCAAAAUGGCCUCACACACCCUUCUGGGUACUCUAAGUCAUCUCCAGUUUGCCUAUACUGUUUAAGUCCACAUCAGUGAUGUGUGAACAGUUGUUCUGCUGUGUUUUUUAAAUGAUAAUAACAAGGAAAACAUCUGCACAUGCUCAGUACCAUUCUGUAAAGGAUUUUCAACCCACAGUUGGUUGGCAGUAUAGGAAAUGUAUAUGAAAUACACACAAAACACACUCCCGUGAGCAUGAGUAACAUAGGACAUUCAAGGUUCAUAAUGAGGAAUGCAGGUGUUAUUUCACAUUCACAAAAAUACAGUGUGUUUUACAGAUGGCAGAUGUAGAAAGCGUGCCAGGAGAAGGAUCGUCCUGCUUCAGGAUUCUUCCAGAUGCUAAGGUAUUCUUCUGAGAGUUCCUUUCCCUGUUCCACUUUCACCAUCUGGAUGUUCCCCUUCAUACCUAACUGAAUUACCUCAUGCUGUUUUGGGCCCUCUCUUUAGGAGUCGCUAGAGAUGAAGAACAGGUAGUCCUUAUUUUCGGUGUUAACCCUUCAAAAGCUUGAGCCUUCCAUAGUAAUCUUGUUGCUGAGAUAAAUAAUCCCAAUUCCUAAAUACUGCCCCCUUUUUCCCAAAACAGUUUCCUAAAGUGUGCUUCUUUCCACAAGGCACAUGCUGCCCACUUCCUUCUGAAGUACGCCCACUGCCAGGGCCCGAGGAUGUUGCCCUCCAGAUGACAAUGGCUGUGGUGUGAUUGYGGUAGCCACAAGUCUGUGGUUGUUUUAAGGCUCGUAACCUAAGUGAUAAGAUUCUGGRCAUUWUKUUUUCUUCAAACCAAAUCAAAACUGUCUAAGUUCAGGGGAAAAAAUAGGAGAAAAGUGUUAAGCACCAAAGGAAUUUGGGAGAUGUUUGGUGUUUUGUGUGAUGUGCAUUGAUUGUUACUAAAAGUUUUAGGAAAAACUCCUUUGAUAGCAUAGAAAGGAAACAAAAGGAGCACCUAGGGUCUGGAAUAACAGRGGAUAUAUUUCUAUAAGGAAAAGAAAGAGUGCAUCCAAAGCUCUUCCUGCUUCAGAGCCACAGAAUGAUUUCCAGGGUGUGGGCUUCUCUAGAAAUCAGAGGUCACAGCAGAAAUCUAAUAACAUGGUAAUGUCAGAAACAAAAAGGAGCAGGGAUUUAAUGGGACUGAGUUACUUCACAAGCCCAGGGUCAUA